rnacentral:lncRNA from 1 species
CCACCCGCCCCACCCCAACCCACACUGUAACUCCUUGGAGCCCCUGUGAGAGUGGUCCCAGGUGGAGAAGCUGUGCCUGAAAAAGUUGGAAGUAAUGUGAGAUGGGUGGUACCAGUGCUGGAACUGGUGUGACAGCUGUGGCUGGAGUACAUGUGGGCUGAGAGGACCCAGGCAGGCCACCAGAGGUGUGACCUACAGUGCAGAAAGGCUGGUAGAAAAGAAAGCAGAGUUGGGCAUGGAGGAGAUGCCAUACAGAGAACCAUCUCAGUCUGGUGACCCCCACCCAGGUGAUGCUGAAGGUAUUGAGAGGCAGACACCCAGAUAGAACAAUAGAGUGGACCUAUCUGGGGGACCAACAUCCUAAGAGCUGAGAGGCUGACAGCGUUCCGGGCUGAAGGCCCCAAGCAGAUUCUCAUCCAUGUAUGUAUUUGCUCUUAAACAGGUGAGUCUUAUUAAUACACAGGUGCCCUACAUUUACUCAUAAGUCAAGAAUAUGCUAAGUAGGCAGCUGUUACCUGACUACCAUUGAUUACAAAUGAAAAGAUGUCCUCACAGAGGAGCCAUGGGGGCAGGGUAAACUAAAUGUUUCUCAACAUUCCCAUACUGCCCUCUGCUCCCCUCCCAGUGCCUUCCAUGAAUGGACUCCCAACAGAA